AUUGAACGCUGGCGGCAGGCCUAACACAUGCAAGUCGAGCGGAGCGGCGGACGGGUGAGUAAUGCCUAGGAAUCUGCCUGGUAGUGGGGGAUAACGUCCGGAAACGGGCGCUAAUACCGCAUACUAUCAGAUGAGCCUAGGUCGGGUUAGCUAGUUGGUGGGGUAAAGGCCUACCAAGGCGACGAUCCGUAACUGGUCUGAGAGGAUGAUCAGUCACAAUGGAACUUAGAACAGGUCCAGACCCCGAAGGGAGGCAGCAGUGGGGAAUAUUGGAUAAGGGGCGAAAGCCGGAUCCAGGCAUGCCGGGUGUGUGAAGAAGGUUGUCGGAUUGUAAAGUAUUUUAAGGUUGGGGGCGUUACCAAAAGAAGAAGCACCGGCUAACUUCGUGCCAGCAGCCGCGGUAAUAC
rnacentral:rRNA from 1 species